AUGGCGUUGUGCAUCCGCUCAGGGCCGACUUUCGGCCUCUUCGCCAACAUUCGCCGGGCCACGGCGAGCGCUGCCGACACGAUCCUCCUGCAGCAGCAGCUGGCGGUCGGCGACCUGCAGGAGCCUUGGCGCUUCGCUGACGGCCUGCUCCUCCAUGGGCGCCGCGUCUUUGUUCCGGCGCAUGAUGAUCUCCGUCACCAGGUCUUGCUGAUAGCCCACUCGGCUGGCCAUGAGGGUGUGCAGAAAACCCUCCAUCGUCUCCGCGCCGACUUCUACAUUCCUGGUGAUCGCGCCCUGGUCCGUGAUUGGGUGCGGUCUUGCAUGACGUGCCAGCGCAACAAGACGGAGACAUUACGGCCGCCUGGUCUUCUUCAGCCCUUGGACGUGCCAUCUCAGGUCUGGGCAGAUAUCUUCAUGGACUUCAUUGAGGGCCUUCCCAAGGUGGGCGGCAAAUCGGUCAUUCUCACGGUGGUCGACCGCUUUUCUAAGUAUGCUCACUUCAUCGCGCUGGGGCAUCCCUACACCGCCGCGUCCGUGGCCCGUGCCUUCUUUGACGGUAUCGUUCGUCUGCACGGUUUUCCUUCUUCGAUCGCCAGUGAUCGCGACACGGUGUUCACGGGCCAUGUCUGGCGCGACCUCUUCAGGAUGGCGGGAGUCAAGCUCCGCUUCAGCACGGCCUUCCACCCCCGGACGGACGGCCAAUCUGAGGUGGUUAACAAGGUGAUUGCCAUGUAUUUACGCUGUGUUACAGGUGAUCGGCAUCGCUUGGGUGGAUUGGCUCGCAUGGGCGGAGUACUGACCCGGCUACGGCACGGACAGAGGCCGCGGGCGACCUUAUUCGCACCCGUGACGAGAUGCUUGCUGAGGUCCGUCAGCGUCUCCUUCAGGCCCAGAAGUUGGCGAAGCAUUACUACGACGACCACCAUCGCAAGGCGGAGUUCGCGGUGGGUGAUUGGGUGUGGUUGUGUCUUCUCCACCGCUCUACGCAGUCACUAG
rnacentral:rRNA from 1 species